rnacentral:misc_RNA from 1 species
UACGGAGGGUGCAAGCGUUAAUCGGAAUUACUGGGCGUAAAGCGCGCGUAGGCGGCUUGUCACGCCGGGUGUGAAAGCCCCGGGCUCAACCUGGGAACGGCAUCCGGAACGGGCAGGCUAGAGUGCAGGAGAGGAAGGUAGAAUUCCCGGUGUAGCGGUGAAAUGCGUAGAGAUCGGGAGGAAUACCAGUGGCGAAGGCGGCCUUCUGGACUGACACUGACGCUGAGGUGCGAAAGCGUGGGUAGCAAACAGG